UGUGUGCUCAAGUAUUUCCUGGAAUGGACAUCCAGCCAGGCCUUCAUUUUCAUCACCUGCAUCUGAUCUUUCCGAGGUGGAUGGCCGUGCUUGCCUUUGCGCCCUGAGCUGGUGGAGUUAGGAAACAUUCAGAGCCGCUUGCCAGACCUAUCGAGUCAUCCUGACUUCAGCACCUUCUGGGGACUGGCAGGGACCUUCUCAGAUGUGCUUUCAUAUCAGCUACAGCUGGGUUGACUUGAGACUCAGCUGCAGCCCAAAUAUAAUUAGACAGCCUUCUG
rnacentral:lncRNA from 1 species